UACGAAAGGAGCAGGUGUUAUUCAGAUUAACUGGGCGUAAAGGGCACGUAGGUGGUUUGUUUAUGUGUAUUAUUAAAAUUGUAAAGCAUAACUUUAUAACGUAUUACAGACAACAAAACUAGAGUUAGGUAGAGGGUAGUAGAAUUUCAAUGUAAAAGGUGAAAAUUUGAUAAAAAUUAGAGAGAAUACCAAUGGCGUAAGCAACUAUCUGGUCCUUAACU
rnacentral:rRNA from 1 species